rnacentral:rRNA from 1 species
GGGCCCGCACAAGCAGUGGAGUAUGUGGUUUAAUUCGAAGCAACGCGAAGAACCUUACCAGGUCUUGACAUCUAUCGAAUCCGGCAGAGAUGCUGGAGUGCCCUUCGGGGAACGGUAAGACAGGUGGUGCAUGGUUGUCGUCAGCUCGUGUCGUGAGAUGUUGGGUUAAGUCCCGCAACGAGCGCAACCCUUGUGAUUAGUUGCUACGUAAGAGCACUCUAAUCAGACUGCCGUUGACAAAACGGAGGAAGGUGGGGACGACGUCAAAUCAUCAUGCCCCUUAUGACCUGGGCUACACACGUACUACAAUGGCCGUUAACAGAGGGACGCGAAACCGCGAGGCGGAGCAAACCCCCAAAAACGGUCUCAGUUCGGAUCGCAGGCUGAAACCCGCCUGCGUGAAGCUGGAAUUGCUAGUAAUCGCGGAUCAUAAUGCCGCGGUGAAUACGUUCCCGGGCCUUGUACACACCGCCCGUCACACCAUGGGAGCCGGUAAUACCCGAAGUCGGUUGUCUAACCGCAAGGAGGACGCCGCCGAAGGUAGGAUUGGCGACUGGGGUGAAGUCGUAACAAGGUAGCCGUAUCGGAAGGUGCGGCU